UACGUAGGUGGCUAGCGUUGUCCGGAUUUACUGGGCGUAAAGAGCGCGCAGGCGGUCGUUCAAGUCGAGUGUGAAAGCCCCCGGCUCAACUGGGGAGGGUCACUCGAUACUGAUCGACUUGAAGGCAGGAGAGGGAAGUGGAAUUCCCGGUGUAGUGGUGAAAUGCGUAGAUAUCGGGAGGAACACCAGUGGCGAAGGCGGCCACCUGGACGGUAACUGACGCUGAGACGGCGAAAGCGUGGGGAGCAAACAGGG
rnacentral:rRNA from 1 species